rnacentral:rRNA from 1 species
CGUGAGUAACCUGCCUCUAAGAGGGGAAUAACAUUCUGAAAAGAAUGCCAAUACCGCAUAACAUAUAUUUAUCGCAUGGUAGAUAUAUCAAAGAUUUAUCGCUUAGAGAUGGACUCGCGUCCGAUUAGUUAGUUGGUGAGGUAACGGCUCACCAAGACUGCGAUCGGUAGCCGGACUGAGAGGUUGAACGGCCACAUUGGGACUGAGACACGGCCCAG